rnacentral:rRNA from 1 species
GAUGAACGCUGGCGGCGUGCCUAAUACAUGCAAGUCGAGCGAACAGAUAAGGAGCUUGCUCCUUUGACGUUAGCGGCGGACGGGUGAGUAACACGUGGGUAACCUACCUAUAAGACUGGGAUAACUUCGGGAAACCGGAGCUAAUACCGGAUAACAUUUGGAACCGCAUGGUUCUAAAGUGAAAGAUGGUUUUGCUAUCACUUAUAGAUGGACCCGCGCCGUAUUAGCUAGUUGGUAAGGUAACGGCUUACCAAGGCGACGAUACGUAGCCGACCUGAGAGGGUGAUCGGCCACACUGGAACUGAGACACGGUCCAGACUCCUACGGGAGGCAGCAGUAGGGAAUCUUCCGCAAUGGGCGAAAGCCUGACGGAGCAACGCCGCGUGAGUGAUGAAGGGUUUCGGCUCGUAAAACUCUGUUAUUAGGGAAGAACAAAUGUGUAAGUAACUGUGCACGUCUUGACGGUACCUAAUCAGAAAGCCACGGCUAACUACGUA